rnacentral:rRNA from 1 species
CCUGGUUGAUCCUGCCAGUAGUCAUAUGCUUGUCUUAAAGAUUAAGCCAUGCAUGUCUAAGUAUAAGCAUUUAUACCGCGAGACUGCGAACGGCUCAUUAAAACAGUUAUGGUUUAUUUGAUGGUUCCUUUGCUACUUGGAUAACCGUAGUAAUUCUAGAGCUAAUACAUGCACGAAGGGGCGACUUACGAAGCCCUGUAUUUAUUAGAUUAAAGCCAACCACCUCCGGGUGUUCGUGGUGAAUCAUAGUAACUUAUCGGAUCGCCGGCUCUAUGCCAGCGACGUGUCAUUCAAAUUUCUGCCCUAUCAGCUUUAGAUGGUAGGAUAUGGGCCUACCAUGGCGGUGACGGGUAACGGAGAAUUAGGGUUCGAUUCCGGAGAGGGAGCCUGAGAAACGGCUACCACUUCUAAGGAAGGCAGCAGGCGCGCAAAUUACCCAAUCCUGACUCAGGGAGGUAGUGACAAGAAAUAACAAUAAACCGGCUUAUGCCGGUUUAAUUGGAAUGAGUACAAUUUAAACAUCUUAACGAGGAACAAUUGGAGGGCAAGUCUGGUGCCAGCAGCCGCGGUAAUUCCAGCUCCAAUAGCGUAUACUAAAGUUGUUGCAGUUAAAAAGCUCGUAGUUGGAUUUCUGUGGGGACGGAGCGGCCGGCCGCAACACGCGGUUCGAGCUAGCGCUUUCCCUACAUCCUGCCGCGAACCGUGCUACCAUUAGUUUGGUGGCGCCGGGGAUCGGCUCGAUUACUUUGAGAAAAAUAGAGUGUUCAAAGCAGGCCACAUGCCUUGAAUAAGUUAGCAUGGAAUAAUAACUAAGGACUUCGGUUCUAUUUUGUUGGUGUUCGGGACUGAAGUAAUGAUUGAUAGGGACAGUUGGGGCGGUCUGUAUUCCAAAGCGAGAGGUGAAAUUCUUAGACCUUCGGAAGACAAACAGCUGCGAAAGCGUUCCGCAAGGAUGUUCCCUUUGAUCAAGAACGAAAGUUGGGGGAUCGAAGACGAUCAGAUACCGUCGUAGUCUCAACUAUAAACUAUACCAGCUAGGGAUCGGCCAACGUUAUUUUAUACCGACUUGGUCGGCACCUUAUGAGAAAUCAAAGCAUCUGGGUUCCGGGGGGAGUAUGGUCGCAAGGCUGAAACUUAAAGGAAUUGACGGAAGGGCACCACCAGCCGUGGAGCCUGUGGCUUAAUUUGACUCAACACGGGAAAACUUACCAGGUCCAGACAUAGUAAGGAUUGACAGAUUGAUAGCUCUUUCUUGAUUCUG